AACGAACGCUGGCGGCAGGCUUAACACAUGCAAGUCGAACGCCCCGCAAGGGGAGUGGCAGACGGGUGAGUAACGCGUGGGAAGCUACCCAGUUCUACGGAACAACUGAGGGAAACUUCAGCUAAUACCGUAUACGCCCUACGGGGGAAAGAUUUAUCGGAAUUGGAUGAGCCCGCGUUGGAUUAGCUAGUUGGUGAGGUAACGGCUCACCAAGGCGACGAUCCAUAGCUGGUCUGAGAGGAUGAUCAGCCACACAGGGACUGAGACACGGCCCAGACUCCUACGGGAGGCAGCAGUGGGGAAUAUUGGACAAUGGGCGCAGGCCUGAUCCAGCCAUGCCGCGUGAGUGAUGAAGGCCUUAGGGUUGUAAAGCUCUUUUAGAUGGGAAGAUAAUGGCGGUACCAUCAGAAAAAGCCCCGGCUAACUUCGUGCCAGCAGCCGCCGUAAUAC
rnacentral:rRNA from 1 species